GCGAUAGGAGUCGCUUCAGGCCGUGGUCCUUCCUGCCGUGUCUGCCUCGGUCAGGUCUCGCCCCGCUAGAGGCGCCUCUCUUUCCUAGGCCUUAGAAGCGCUGGGAAGACGCGGGAAGGAAACCGCUGGUUCUCGCUGAGAGACGUGGAGCCCGCAGUCGGCGCGGAGGCUGGGCUUUGCCCCGGACACGCCUGGUUGGCUCCAGGGCCAAGUUCAGCCCGUUCUAAGGCCUCGUGGCGCUCUUGCUGUGUUUCUGAUAAUUACGAGUGUUUUAUCGCCUCAGGGAGGUCUAGAAAUGCCAGCGUUUAGGCAACUGCUGCUUACCCAGGUCUCAGUAUGGUCGAGGGAAGUGCUCUGCUUUUUACCCCUUAGACUGUACGGAUUAGUUUUACUAAAAACAAAACCGUGAUUAGAAGAGUGUGUGAUCGGGCAGGAGCACACUGGAAUUUUUGAACGAAGAAUGAACACCUGGAGCCAGCAAACAACCGGGGGCUUCUUUCUUUUGACAGUUCCCUUUCUUGCUGUCUGCAGUGUUUGAACGCCUCGAGGAACUAAAAAUGAGGGAUUGUUGAGACAAUGUGACAGUUUUGAUUUCUCUGCUUUUUAAGAGCAUUUAAACUUAAAUCCAUGAGAUUCUGUGAGGCAAUGGUCUUAAUAAUGAAAUAAGUUACUGGCUAUCGCUAGGCACUGUUCUGAGGCCUUUACAAAUAUUAACUCAUAAUCCUUACACCUGCGAGGAAAAUGCCACUAUACCCAUUUUAAGGACGAGAAAUAGCGUUUAUGGUGGAGUAAAUGGCACUGCUGGAAUCCAAACCCUAACGAGCAGAGGCUAUCCUUAACUAGUAUCUGUACUAAAAGUGAUUUAAAACCUGUUGGUACAGAUUUUGUAUAAUACCUUAUCUAGAUGCUUUGGUUCUGAAAGUACCUGAGAAUUAAGCCAAUAAUCGGUUCGACAGGCAGAUAAUGACUUAAUAAAGUUCAAAAGGAGUGAUGAUACAUGAUUACCUUUAUUAUGGGACAACAGCGUCACCACGCCCAGUCAAGUAAUUCCUGUACAAAAGAACUGGUUUAGGAAGUCUGCCUUGGUUGUCUACAGUUCUAGAAGAGCAGUUGAGGAUACAUCUUUUUUUAAGAGUUUACAAUAUUUUGUAUUUGCAAUGUGUUUCCGAAAGCCUAAUUUCUAUUCUAAAUUUGUUUUUAAGAUUUAUCUUGAGGAUAAAUGGGGCUCCCUAAAACCAGAUGCGAUACUAAUCAAAAUAUACUGACAGGUCUCAACCAUCCCUUUUCCUGUGGAAGCUGAAUAAUCCCACUCCCAGCUGUUUCUUAGACUCCCUGCGUGCAACUUGUCAUCUUGGAGAAUGGUCCUCUUAGCUCCACACUCAUCAAAUGCUGCACUCAAGAUUCCUCAAGGCUACCUGCAACCCUGCCCCUGAUGGCUCUCCUGGCGUCAAACUUCCCAAGAGGCUGCUGAGCAGUCACUGUCUAGAACCUGAGAAUAGCCCUUGACUUGUGGGUUCCUCCUUCGAGUCUGCAGCCCUCCUAUUGCUGCCUGAUGCUGGGGUUAUCUGAGGCUGUCAGAACCCAUCUCUAGGCAUCUUUGUCAUUAUAGACCAACCCCCAGAAGAUGUCAGGAAGCUGCUGCCUCUUACCAGUCAGCCCUGCACAGGUGGAGUCCCUUCUCCCAGCACAUAGGGCAGUGACAGAGAGAAAUCAGGGCUGGAUUGUUCAGGAAAGAAAUCUAUCUCCUUCAAAAGGAGCUUCAGUUGGUGGUGGAUGGGUCUGUGGUAGGGUUGGGGAUGCAAAGGUGGAUGAGGAAGAAAGGAAAUUUCUACUGACAUAAUAACCACUGGGCUGAGCACUCAGUACAUGUGCCUGAUUGUCUUACGAUUCUACAAUUUGUGAGUUGUGUUGGAAAACGGGCUCACAGAGUAAAAUCACAGGCAUGUGGGAAUGUGGCUUUAUACUGGCUGGUUUGAGACUUGACCACAGUCUUCCUGAUUUUAAUGUUUAUAUGCUUUUCUGUCUGCCAUGCACUAAGCUCCUGUGCCCUGACUGAACCCUCACACCCUGAAGAGCCACUGUUUCUUUUAUAUUUUAUUUUAUUAUAUUAUAUUAUAUUAUUUUGGUAUCAUUAAUCUACAAUUACAUGAAGAACAUUAUGUUUACUAGGCUCCCCCCUUCACCAAGUCCCCUCCAACAAAUCCCAUUACAGUCACUGUCCAUCAGUGUAGUAAGAUGCUGUAGAAUCACUACUUGUCUUCUCUGUGUUGCACAGCCCUCCCCGUGCCCCACCCACAUUAUACAUGCUAAUCGUAAUGCCCCCUUUCUUCACCCCCCAUCCCUCCCUUCCCACCCAUCCUCCCCAGACCCUUUCCCUUUGGUAACUGUUAGUCCAUUCUUGGGUUCUGUGAUUCUGCUCACUGUUCCUUUUUGAUCUCUCUUUUUCUGAGUCCACUCUCUGAAACUGAGACUCACUGUUCCUGGGUUAUAGAUCCAGCUCUGCUUUGGUCUUGGGCAAGUUAUCUUUCUUCCUGAGCCUCAGUUUCCCUAACUGUAAGCAAGAGACAAGGAAUGUGAAGCCAAAGAUGCACUCUUCUGGACUGACCACGAGCCAGUUCAGUUCUUGUCAUUGAAUAACUUAUUUUAGUGUUUGCAUUUUCAUAACUGAUUUAUUUAUAAUGGUUUGUUUUUACUGAUUAUUUAAAAUCUAAAUUAAAAUUAAAUUUUAUAUGGGGGUUUUUAUUUUUUAGAUUUAUCUUCUAUUUGUGACACUAAAUUUUCAUCUAUAGUUGUGAUGUAAAAUCAAAAAAUAUAUAUAAAAUUAAAAACCAAAUCUGUGUAAUGAAAAUUAUUGAUAGUUAUCUGGCGAUAUCAAAAAUUAUGAAGAUGAUAUGCAUAUGAUUGAAACUUGGAAAGCACCAGACAUAAGGGAGAGAAGAGAAAAUGCCCAGGAGUAAAUACUGAGGUUGUCCACCAUGUAAACAUUAAGUAAAACAAGAGAAGUUGAUAAAGAAGGCCAAAAAAGAAGGGGCUUGGCUGAUAAGGGGGAAUUUAAUAGAGUGUAAUAUGUAUAUCUUUGCUCUGAGCUGCUCUGGCCUCCUGGAUGCCAAAUGUACCAAAAAUGCUCUGUUAAGACAUAUAGGGGCUCCCUUAGUCAGGGAGAGACCCAACCAGCUCAAGUUAAGGUAUUUAAUGACAUUGGAUGGGGUACCACCGUGACUCACAUUUCCAGAAGUGAUCCCUGCUAACUAUGAUCUGUUGCCUUGGAACUGUUCCCUCUUGGGACAAAGAGGUGGAAGUUAAGAAGGGAAAAAGGUAAUGUAAGGGACAGAAAAGUGAAGUAUUUAGAAGUCAAAGGUGAUAGGAGUGGGGGAAAGCUUCAAAAUUCAGUAAGAGAAAAUUGACCCUAAAUUAGAAGUGGGCCAGAUAUCAUAAGGUGAAAAUGUGGCUUGAAGAGUAGACUUCAUUAAAGAUAAGAGGGUAGAGUUUGAUCAAAUAGAAAUUAAAUAAAAAAUAUAAGUGGCCCUAACCUUGAAAUGUCCUUGUGUUCCUAAACUGGCAUGCUUUAUCUCCUGGGUGGGGUUGCCAGGUAAAUAUAGUGUGUCCUGGGCAAUAUUUGGUACUAAAUAACUGAACUAAAAAGUUGCUUGCUCUUUAUCUGAAAUUAAAAUUUAACUGGGUGUCCUGUAUUGAAUGAAUGAAUUAAUUAAUUCUGUUGCUAAAUUUGGCUAUCUCCCAGACGUGUUGGGACUUUUUGCUAGGGCUUGCAUUAUGGCUAAGAAUCCAAAGUGAUACGGUCCUCAGAUUGUCUGCUGGUUUCUUGCAGUGACUAUACAUAAAGCCUGCAUUAUGGAUGAUAAGUAUUUUUACCUUCCUUUCUCUCCCUCCUUCCCUCUUUUCCUCCCUUUGUGCCUGCGUGUUUUCUUUAGCUGAACCAUUUGAGAGCUGCAGACAUCUAGAUGCUGAAGCUUCAGCCUGUAUCUCUCAAAAGUAAGGAUAUUUUCCUACAUAACCACAAUACAGUGAUCACAUUCAGCAUAUUUCAUCUUUUCUAAUAGGCAGCUCAUAGUUAAAUUUCUGCAAUUGUCCCAAUAAUAGGAUACAUUUUACUUUAAUACCGCUUUAUUUUUUUAUUCAAGAUUCGAACAGGAUCACACAUUGCAUUUAUUUUCAUGUCUUUUUAGUGAUCUUUAAUGUAACUCAGGUUGCCAGUCUUUUUGGUUGUGUUUUGUUUUUCGUUGAUGAUGUUGACACUUUUGAAGAGUGCAGGCCUGUUCUUUUGCAGUAGUCAGAUAGUUUCCCCAAUUUUGAGCACUUUCUUAAUUCCUAGCACAGCAAGAUGUUCCAGGCUCACCUGGCAGUUAGGCAUUUUCCUAAAGGGUUUGGGAAAUGUUGAGAAAACAAGACCUGGGUGCCAUGUGUGCUCAUGGCUCUGGGGUGAAAUGGCUUUUAGGUCCUCUCAAUGGACAGAACUAGGAAACACUUUUAACAACCAUGAGUUCAUAAUGAUACCUCUAAUUGAUACCCAGUCCAAUAGUAUAGGAUUCUUCCUCUCUCCUUUCUUAAUUCCAUAUUUGUACCUUUUUUCUCCCUUGGUGAAUUCCCUGUUCUCUCAAAACAUCAAUAUAUUUACUCAUUUGCUCAACCCUGCACUAUAAACAACACAGUUUUAGAAUUGCCUCACCAUCAUCAUUACCCAAAACAAGCUUACCAAGUGAAGUUCAUGACUCUUUUGACCUCAGAAUAUAUUCCCCUAAAAGUGUGCAGUCAGAAUAUUUUAUUAUGUUCAAAAGUCUUUUGGGUUAAUUCUUUUUUUUUUGUAAUUGUGUUAUCAACUUGGUUAUAAUCAAGUCCAAUCAUUUCUUUCACUUUCAGGUUGUCCUAACACCCCCCUUCUUGCUAAUUUAAUUUAAUUUUUUAAAUAGGUAAAAUGCUAAUGUGGUUCAAAAUCCAAAACUACAUAAAAGUCUAUAUUCAGGCAGGUCCUGUCCCCUUUCCAUCUUUUCUAUUCCUAUCCCUCAGCCCCUACAGGCAACCAAAUUCAUCUGUUUCUUUUUUAUAUAAACAAAUGAAUAAAUACAUAUUUUACCUCAUACAAAAUGUAGCAUAUUGCAUAUACUCUUUAGCACCUCGAUUUGUUUGUUUUUUUCACUUAAUGUAUUCUGAAAAUCAAUCUUAUUUCAUAGCAUUCUUUUUUAAUUUUUCCAACUGUAUUUUCCACUGAGUAAAUGCAUCAUAGUUUAUUCAAUCCAACUCCAUGUAUGAGUCCUUAGGGUGUUUCCAAUUUUUUUGCAAUAACAAAUAAUGCUGCAAUGCAUAAUUUUGUGCAUGUGUUUUCUUGUAUUGUUGGGGUAUAUUUUCAGGGUAAUUUUCUAGAAUUGUGAUUUCCCUCUAUGGGAAUUGUGCCAUUUUGUACCCACCAGUAGUGAAUGAGAGAGCCUAUUUUCCCACCAUCUGUCCAACAAACUUGUCAAGAGUUUGCAUUUUUGCCAAGUGGUGAAUAAGAAAUAGCAUCUCAUGUAGUUUCAACAUGUAUGUUUUUUUUUAUGAGUUAAGCAUCUUUUUAAACGUCCUUUUCCUUUUAAAAAUAGAUAUAAAACAAGUAGGUAAUACUUGAACUGAAUCUUUCAUCUGUGCUACAAUAAAAUGAGACUUUUCUUCUCAAACAAUCUCCGCUUUGGUGGUUUUAUGUACACAAGAAGUAGUUUUAUAACAUAUUAGAAGGCAAUGACUUUUAAGAUAAAACAUUUUUUAUAACAAUAUUGAAAACAGUUUGAUAUGUGAAGUUAAAAAAAACCUUGUUACCUGAAUAGAGUAAGUUGAGCAUUUUCCAAUGCAGUUUUGAGAAAGAUUAAUAAUAAUCUCUUUAUUUGGUAUACUGCUGUUUUAGAGAAGGCUCUCACUUUAAUCUUGGGGGAAACAUUGGGCAAGGGUUAUUGCCUCAGUUUACAGAUGAGGAAACUGAGACUCAGAGAGGUUUGGAGACUCAACACCAUAUGUCUAAAGAAUGACCAGGUCAGAAUUAGAACUCAGGCUGUUUGACUCCUAAUCCAGUAAUUUUAAAGUAACUAAAGAUUAAAUACUGAAUAAUGAAUUUACAUACUCGGCAUUUGUGUUUUCAUGGUGGUUCAGAAUUGGGGGAUUUUCUUGUAGGUUGAUGGAAAAUUCAUUUUAACAAUACUGAUUUUUUAAAUGAAGCUACUAAGUUGGCAAUAUACACAUUUUCUUUUCUGAUUUUGGGCAUGCUCAGUUAUUCAGGCCAAACCAGAUUGAUAGCUAGUGGAAAUGUCAA